rnacentral:rRNA from 1 species
UACAGAGGGGGCAAGCGUUGUUCGGAAUUACUGGGCGUAAAGGGCGCGUAGGCGGCCUGCUAAGUCGAACGUGAAAUCCCUGGGCUCAACCCAGGAACUGCGUCCGAUACUGGUUGGCUUGAAUCCGGGAGAGGGAUGUGGAAUUCCAGGUGUAGCGGUGAAAUGCGUAGAUAUCUGGAGGAACACCGGUGGCGAAGGCGGUUCUCUGGGCCUUACCUGACGCUGAGGAGCGAAAGCGUGGGGAGCAAACAGG